rnacentral:rRNA from 1 species
GAGUUUGAUCAUGGCUCAGAUUGAACGCUGGCGGCAGGCUUAACACAUGCAAGUCGAGCGGGGGAGGUUGCUUCGGUAACUGACCUAGCGGCGGACGGGUGAGUAAUACUUAGGAAUCUGCCUAUUAAUGGGGGACAACAUCUCGAAAGGGAUGCUAAUACCGCAUACGCCCUACGGGGAAAGGCAGGGGAGUCACUUGUGACCUUGCGUUAAUAGAUGAGCCUAAGUCGGAUUAGCUAGUUGGUGGGGUAAAGGGCCUACCAAGGCGACGAUCUGUAGCGGGUCUGAGAGGAUGAUCCGCCACACUGGGACUGAGACACGGCCCAGACUCCUACGGGAGGCAGCAGUGGGGGAAUAUUGGACAGUGGGGGGAACCCUGAUCCAGCCAUGCCGCGUGUGUGAAGAAGGCCUUAUGGUUGUAAAGACACUUUAAGCGAGGA